GACAGAGGGUGCAAACGUUGUUCGGGAUUACUGGGCGUAAAGCGCGUGUAGGCGGCUAAGUAAGUCGGGCGUGAAAUCCCACGGCUCAACCGUGGAAGUGCACUCGAAACUGCAUAGCUAGAGUCCUGGAGAGGAAGGUGGAAUGCUUGGUGUAGAGGUGAAAUUCGUAGAUAUCAAGCGGAACACCGGUGGCGAAGGCGGCCUUCUGGACAGUGACUGACGCUGAGACGCGAAAGCGUGGGGAGCAAACAGG
rnacentral:rRNA from 1 species